rnacentral:tRNA from 1 species
UGCAUCGGCCGGGAAUCGAACCCGUGCCGCCGGCGUGGCAGGCGAGCAUUCUACCACUGAACCACCGAUUGUUAUGC